UGCAUGGCUGUCGUCAGCUCGUGUCGUGAGAUGUUGGGUUAAGUCCCGCAACGAGCGCAACCCCCGCCUUCAGUUGCCAACGGUUCGGCCGUGCACUCUGGAGGAACUGCCUGUGACAAGCAGGAGGAAGGUGGGGAUGACGUCAAGUCCUCAUGGCCCUUAUGGGCUGGGCUACACACGUGCUACAAUGGCGGUGACAGAGGGAUGCAAUACCGCGAGGUGGAGCAAAUCCCUAAAAGCCGUCUCAGUUCGGAUUGUUCUCUGCAACUCGAGAGCAUGAAGUUGGAAUCGCUAGUAAUCGCAGAUCAGCUCGCUGCGGUGAAUACGUUCCCGGGCCUU
rnacentral:rRNA from 1 species